rnacentral:rRNA from 1 species
UGGUGGGUAGUUUGACUGGGGCGGUCUCCUCCUAAAGAGUAACGGAGGAGCACGAAGGUUGGCUAAUCCUGGUCGGACAUCAGGAGGUUAGUGCAAUGGCAUAAGCCAGCUUGACUGCGAGCGUGACGGCGCGAGCAGGUGCGAAAGCAGGUCAUAGUGAUCCGGUGGUUCUGAAUGGAAGGGCCAUCGCUCAACGGAUAAAAGGUACUCCGGGGAUAACAGGCUGAUACCGCCCAAGAGUUCAUAUCGACGGCGGUGUUUGGCACCUCGAUGUCGGCUCAUCACAUCCUGGGGCUGAAGUAGGUCCCAAGGGUAUGGCUGUUCGCCAUUUAAAGUGGUACGCGAGCUGGGUUUAGAACGUCGUGAGACAGUUCGGUCCCUAUCUGCCGUGGGCGCUGGAGAACUGAGGGGGGCUGCUCCUAGUACGAGAGGACCGGAGUGGACGCAUCACUGGUGUUCGGGUUGUCAUGCCAAUGGCACUGCCCGGUAGCUAAAUGCGGAAGAGAUAAGUGCUGAAAGCAUCUAAGCACGAAACUUGCCCCGAGAUGAGUUCUCCCUGAGACUUUAAGUCUCCUGAAGGAACGUUGAAGACGACGACGUUGAUAGGCCGGGUGUGUAAGCGCAGCGAUGCGUUGAGCUAACCGGUACUAAUGAACCGUGAGGCU